CAGAUAUGGAUGACUACAUCUCC
rnacentral:snRNA from 1 species